UACGUAGGGGGCAAGCGUUGUCCGGAAUCAUUGGGCGUAAAGCGCGUGUAGGCGGUUCGGUAAGUCUGCUGUGAAAGUCCAGGGCUCAACCCUGGGAUGCCGGUGGAUACUGUCGGGCUAGAGUACGGAAGAGGCGAGUGGAAUUCCCGGUGUAGCGGUGAAAUGCGCAGAUAUCGGGAGGAACACCAAUUGCGAAGGCAGCUCGCUGGGACGGUACUGACGCUAAGGCGCGAAAGCGUGGGGAGCGAACAGG
rnacentral:rRNA from 1 species